rnacentral:lncRNA from 1 species
CUGUGCCAGAGUCAACAGUCUCCAGGGUGGGCCGGAAGUUGUUGUAGGCGUUCUCAAGGCCGAAUCUGCUCUCCCUCAGAUUCUGGUCUGUAGGGAGAGGCCGUGAUGAGUGAUGGGAGCCUUGGUAGGGGGAGGACUAGGGGGCAGAGGGGAUUUCCUCUGGCAAAAGGAAGAGUCAGCCCGGCAUCUGCCCUACGCCCUUUCCCACUGCCGACCACCCCUCCGACCCUGCAUCACUGGGCUGCGGACAGAAAUGCCUUGAGCAGCUGUAGGCAAGGAGGCUGAGGAGGGACUUGGUGGACCCUGACCUUCAGCUUCCCUCGAGGGGACAGUCACAGCCACACCCCGAGUCAGAGAUGGCAGCGAUGAUGGCAGAGAACAAAAAGUAGCAUCACCAUGGCUUCCCUUCUACCAAGGCAAGCACUGGCCAGGCCUCCUGGCUGCCCCUCACUCCCUU